GAUGAAGAACGUAGUGAAAUGCGAUAAGUAAUGUGAAUUGCAGAAUUCAGUGAAUCAUCGAAUCUUUGAACGCACAUUGCGCCCGGUAGUAAUCUGCCGGGCAUGCCUGUCCGAGCGUCAUUUCAACCCUCGAACCACUAUUCGCGUAGCUGGAUCGGUGUUGGGGCACUACGGUGGAAUACCCGUAGGCCCCGAAAUGAAGUGGCGGUCCCGCCGCGGCGCCCCCAUGCGUAGUAACAUCUCGUCUCGCAUCGGGUCCCGGCGGAGGCCUGCCGUCAAGCCUAUUUUCUAUUUACAGAUGGUUUGACCUCGGAUCAGGUAGGGUUACCCGCUGAACUUAAGCAUAUCAAUAAGCGGAGGA
rnacentral:misc_RNA from 1 species